rnacentral:lncRNA from 10 species
ACCAUCUUGGCCAGGCUGGUCUCGAACUCCUGACCGCGUGAUCCACCCGCCUCAGCCUCCCAAAGUGCUGGGCUUACAAGCAUGAGCCACUGCACCCAGCCGCUGUCACUAUUUCUUUUCUUUUUUGAGACGGAGUCACGCUCUGUCGCCCAGGCUGGGGUGCAGGGACACAAUCUCGGUUCACUGUAAGCUCCACCUCCCAGGUUCACACCAACCUCCUGCCUCAGACUAUUUUUUACUUAAGCCAUCUUGAUAUCUUGAUAGGUGUGUAGUAGCACUUCAUUGUGAUUUGAAUUUGCGUUUCCCAAAUCACUAAUGAUAGUGAAUGUUUUUUCAUGUGCUUGUCAUCUGUAUGUUUUUCUCAGUGAAAUAUCUGUUAAUGUCUACUGCCCAUUUUAUAAUGUUUUUUUUUUCUUUUUUUUGGGAUGGAGUUUUGCUCUGUCACCCAGGCUGGAGUGCAAUGGCACAGUCUCGGCUCACUGCAAUCUCCAACUCCUGGAUUCAAACGAUUCUCCUGCCUCAGCCUCCCGAGUAGCUGGAAUUACAGGUGCAUGCCACCACACCUAGCUAAUUUUUAUAUUUUUAGUAUAGACGGGGU